rnacentral:rRNA from 1 species
GAUGAACGCUAGCGGGAGGCUUAACACAUGCAAGUCGAGGGGCAGCAUAGGGUAGCAAUACCCUGAUGGCGACCGGCAAACGGGUGAGUAACGCGUAUGUAACCUACCCUGUACAGGGGGAUAACCCGGAGAAAUUCGGACUAAUAUCCCAUAACAAUAUCCGGGGGCAUCUUUGGAUAUUUAAAGUUCCGGCGGUACGGGAUGGGCAUGCGUAACAUUAGCUAGUUGGUAAGGUAACGGCUUACCAAGGCUUUGAUGUUUAGGGGUCCUGAGAGGGUGGUCCCCCACACUGGUACUGAGACACGGACCAGACUCCUACGGGAGGCAGCAGUGAGGAAUAUUGGUCAAUGGGCGCAAGCCUGAACCAGCCAUCCCGCGUGCAGGAAGACGGCGCUAUGCGUUGUAAACUGCUUUUCCAGGGAGAGAAACUUGCGCACGUGUUGCGCAAUUGACGGUACCCUGGGAAUAAGCAUCGGCUAACUCCGUG